rnacentral:misc_RNA from 1 species
CUUACAGGAAAAGGUGCAAAAGUAUGAGGGUUCAUACCAGGGAUGGACUUCUGAGCCCACAAAGUUGAUUCCAUGGAGAAAUAGUCACUGGCGUGCUCAAAGUUUCAUUGGUCACCCACAAGCAAUAAAAAAUGAUUCUGGUCCAGGGCCAACAUUUCCUGGGAAAUUUGAUGAGAAUAACACUGCCAUCACCCCAACCAUGCUU